AGCUCAGUUGGUAGAGUGCUUGUCUAUCAUGCAUGAAGCUCUGGGUUCAAUCCCCAG
rnacentral:tRNA from 1 species